rnacentral:lncRNA from 1 species
AUGAUGAAGGUUGUGUGUGCAAUGAUGAUUGUGGCAGUUGUUAUGGUUGAGAUGGUUUUCAUUGCUGAGGGUGGUUGUAAUGCACUACAAUUGAGCCCAUGUCUACCAGCAAUUAGAUCAAAUUCUGCACCAUCUGCUACAUGUUGCAGCAGAUUGAAUGAUCAAAAGUCAUGCUUAUGUGGUUACCUCAAAAACCCAAUCUUGAAGCCAUAUGUUAACUCUCCUGGUUCAAGAAGGGUUGCUGAGGCUUGUGGUGUUGGUGUCCCAAAUUGUUAA